GGGGAUUUAGCUCAGUGAUAGAGCGCUUGCCUAGCAAGCACAAGGCCCUGGGUUCAGUCCCCAGUUCCA
rnacentral:tRNA from 1 species